AUGAACGCUGGCGGUAUGUUUAACACAUGCAAGUCGAACGGAACCCCUUGGGGUUUAGUGGCGGACGGGUGAGUAACGCGUGAGAAUCGGCCCUCAGGUUGGGGACAACCAUUGGAAACGGUGGCUAAUACCGAAUAAGCCGAAAGGUGAAAGAUUAAUUGCCUGGGGAAGAGCUCGCGUCUGAUUAGCUAGUUGGUGGGGUAAAGGCCUACCAAGGCACCGAUCAGUAACUGGUCUGAGAGGAUGGCCAGUCACACUGGGACUGAGACACGGCCCAGACUCCUACGGGAGGCAGCAGUGGGGAAUUUUCCGCAAUGGGCGAAAGCCUGACGGAGCAAUACCGCGUGGGGGAGGAAGGCUCUUGGGUCGUAAACCUCUUUUCUCAGGGAAGAAAUAAAUGACGGUACCUGAGGAAUCAGCAUCGGCUAACUCCGU
rnacentral:rRNA from 1 species